CCGUGCUAGAUGGGGAGCUAGCGGUGCCCUGAACCCGCAAUCCGCUAUAGCGGGAUUGAACUCCUGCCCGAGGUCCUGGAUCUCCGGGUGAUCUGCCCGGGGUUGGGGCGUCGAGGGUCGGGUCCUGCGCAAGGGGGAUCCGUGAACCCCGUCAGGUCCGGAAGGAAGCAGCGGUAAGCGGUCUGCCUCCUGUGCCGCGGGGGCGCCCGGCCGGAGCCUUCGGUCCUGGGUAAGUGCCGGCGGUUGGGAUCGACGGCAGGUGCACGG
rnacentral:SRP_RNA from 1 species